rnacentral:rRNA from 1 species
AAUAAGCGGAGGAAAAGAAACCAACAGGGAUUGCCUCAGUAACGGCGAGUGAAGCGGCAAAAGCUCAAAUUUGAAAUCCCCCCGGGGAAUUGUAAUUUGAAGAUUGUGUUUUGGAAACGACCGUGUCUAUGUUCCUUGGAACAGGACGUCACAGAGGGUGAGAAUCCCGUGCGGCACGGCCACCGUUUCCUUAUAAAACACUCUCGACGAGUCGAGUUGUUUGGGAAUGCAGCUCAAAGUGGGUGGUAAAUUCCAUCUAAAGCUAAAUACAGGCGAGAGACCGAUAGCGAACAAGUACAGUGAUGGAAAGAUGAAAAGCACUUUGAAAAGAGAGUGAAACAGUACGUGAAAUUGUUGAAAGGGAAGGGCAUGCCGUCAGAUUGUCAGUGUGGGUAAGAAGCGGGGUACAAAGACUGUGGAACGUGGCCCUCGGGUGUUAUAGCCACAGUUCAUCCCCCGUCUCUUUCCGAGGCCUGCUUUGAGGACACCGACGUAAUGACGGUACGCCGCCCGUCUUG